CUCACCACGGGUUCAACCCAUAUGAGCCAGGUCUAAAUGAGUCGGGUUGAAAUCUGACCCGCAUAUAAGUGGGUUGUAUUUUUCAAACCCAACCCGGCCCGAACCCGUGACGGGCCGGGUGGCUCGCGGGUUGUGACCCAUUUUGACGGCUCUACUUACAACAUUUAUAAAAGAAAUAUGGAUUAAAUAAAUAUAAAUAAAA
rnacentral:lncRNA from 1 species